rnacentral:lncRNA from 1 species
UCCAUUGACCUUCUUGAUAAAGAUGUGUUAUGUGUACAUGGACUGAAAACUUCUACGACAUCUCUUCAAGCUACUGGUUGUGCCAGAAAUUCUUUUUUCUUUGUUUGUUCCUCCUGGUUGCUGCAUUAUAAAGAUAGACAAAAUAUUCAAAGAACAGCACAACUGAAAUAUGUAUGGCGUUCAACAAAGACAUAUUUCCAUGGUUCAGAAAUCCACAUAACUAGUCAUCACUGUCCAUAUUACUUUAUUUAAGUUUUUCUCAACUAAAUAUUUAUAAAACAUACAUUAAAAAUGACAACAAAAAAAAAGAAUUACAGAAGCUGAGUGCAGGGAAGGGGAGCUAUUCAAUUAUUCAUGACAUACGUUGGUAGCAAUAGAAAUUGGAAUUUUACCUGGUUUAUUGCAGAGUUCAAAGAAAAUUACCUGGUUUACUAGAUCAGAUUAAAAAAAUUAAAAAAUAUAUAUGCGGGGCGGGGCGGUUUUGCGCGGGGCGGUUAAAAACAGAAAAUUUUAUUUUGCGGGGCGGGUUGGAGUCUUCGCGGGUGUGCGCGGGUGUGCCCCGCAACUGCACCGCCCCGCACCGUUUGCCAUCCCUAAAUCACGGGUAUCUCCGAAAAAGCUAAACAUUUAAACUUUCCAAUUCAUGGUCUUUCAUUUGGCAUACGAGCAAAUAACUGGAAACCCAAUUCGAAAAAAAUGCUAACAAUUAGACUUCUCCAUUCAUGGCCUCUUAGUAACAUAUGAACAAACACCCAGUUUAGACAAAAAAUGACAAAAUAAGCGAGCUUAGAGAUGAAUUCAAUACAUCAAAACCCAGAAGAUCAAUUCGAAUUAAAAAGUUUCAGUCAAUGAGGGGUCAUCACUGGCCUUUGUUUUCCGAUGACGAGGUCAUUUCCUUUCGAUGGUUAAUAUCGGCGAUGUAUUGAAGAUGGUGAUUUGGAUGGGACCUUUUUUGCUGUUGAUUAUGGCUAUGGCAGUAGCCAUGGAGGUAGUAUUGGUGACAGCCAUAGAAGAGGAAGAUAGGAGGAAGAAACAGUCGGACGGGUUGAGAUCUGGAAGAGACGUGUGUGUGGGGCUUUUUAUUUUUGGGAGGGGGUUGUUUUCUGUUUUUUUCUUUUAAAUAUUACAAGUAUCUUAAAGUAUCUUUUUUGUUUGAGAGGAUAUGUGUCACAACUUCAUUGAUGCGUGAUAAUACACAUGUUUUGAAGAACUAGCCAAAAAAAAAUGAUAUGUCUUAGACACAGUCCGAAAAGAUUGAAUGUGUAAUAUAAUUUUUGUGGUUAGAAAG